AUCCGCAGAUCGAUGACACAAAAGCUUACAGAACUUCGAGAACAACGAUCGCUCAAGAUAUAAAAUCAAAAAAAUGUCGAAAAUAAUUUUAUUAUUAUCAAUUUUCGUAUUGAUUGGUGUUUAUGCUGGUGCAGAUGCAGCAUGCCCGGGCGGUUGGUGUCAUUCCGCACAAGGUUAUGGCUGUUGUGAAGGAAAUAUAUGUAGUGAUGCUGUGUUUCAAGGUACGUGCAUAACUCAUGAGGAAUACUUAAUGCAAAGCAUGCAAGGAAAAUAAUUAUACCAAUACAGUGAAAAUUUAAAGAUGUAUUCUUCCAAUUAAUAAAACUUUCAUUACAAAAAAAA